AGAAUCAACGCUGGCGGCGUGCCUAACACAUGCAAGUCGAACGAGAAAGGGGUAGCAAUACCCUGAGUAAAGUGGCGCACGGGUGAGUAACACGUGACUAACCUACCCUUGAGUGGGGGAUAACUGAGGGAAACCUUAGCUAAUACCGCAUAAUACCCACGGGUCAAAGGAGCAAUUCGCUCGAGGAGGGGUCGCGGCCGAUUAGUUAGUUGGCGGGGUAAUGGCCCACCAAGACGAUGAUCGGUAUCCGGCCUGAGAGGGCGCACGGACACACUGGAACUGAAACACGGUCCAGACUCCUACGGGAGGCAGCAGUGGGGAAUUUGCGCAAUGGGGGAAACCCUGACGCAGCAACGCCGCGUGGAGGAUGAAGUCCUUCGGGACGUAAACUCCUUUCGAUCGGGACGAUUAUGACGGUACCGGAAGAAGAAGCCCCGGCUAACUUCGCGCCAGCAGCCGC
rnacentral:rRNA from 1 species